rnacentral:rRNA from 1 species
AUUGAACGCUGGCGGCAGGCCUAACACAUGCAAGUCGAGCGGGGACUUCGGUCCUAGCGGCGCACGGGUGUGUAAUGCUUGGGAAUCUGCCCAGUAGUGGGGGAUAACGUCCCGAAGGGGGGGCUAAUACCGCGUAAGUCAUACGGGAAAAAGAGAGGGAUCUUCGGACCAAUCACGAGUGGAUGGGCCCAAGUCGGAUUAGCUAGUUGGUAGGGUAAUGGCCUACCAAGGCGACGAUCCGUAGCUGGUCUGAGAGGAUGAUCAGCCACACUGGAACUGAGACACGGUCCAGACUCCUACGGGAGGCAGCAGUGGGGAAUAUUGGACAAUGGGCGAAAGCCUGAUCCAGCCAUGCCGCGUGUGUGAAGAAGGCCUUCGGGUUGUAAAGCACUUUAAGCGGGGAGGAAGGUUCGCGGCCUAAUACGUCGCUGAAUUGACGGUACCCGAAGAAUAAGCACCGGCUAACUCUGUG